rnacentral:rRNA from 1 species
GAUGAACGCUGGCGGCGUGCCUAAUACAUGCAAGUCGAGCGAACAGACGAGGAGCUUGCUCCUCUGACGUUAGCGGCGGACGGGUGAGUAACACGUGGAUAACCUACCUAUAAGACUGGGAUAACUUCGGGAAACCGGAGCUAAUACCGGAUAAUAUAUUGAACCGCAUGGUUCAAUAGUGAAAGACGGUUUUGCUGUCACUUAUAGAUGUAUCCGCGCCGCAUUAGCUAGUUGGUAAGGUAACGGCUUACCAAGGCAACGAUGCGUAGCCGACCUGAGAGGGUGAUAGGCCACACUGGAACUGAGAAAAGGUCAAGACUCCUAAGGGAGGCAGCAGUAGGGAAUCUUCCGCAAUGGGCGAAAGCCUGACGGAGCAACGCCGCGUGAGUGAUGAAGGUCUUCGGAUCGUAAAACUCUGUUAUUAGGGAAGAACAAAUGUGUAAGUAACUAUGCAAGUCUUGACGGUACCUAAUCAGAAAGCCACGGCUAACUACGUG